AAGAAAGAGGUUGAUUGGGAU
rnacentral:snRNA from 1 species